rnacentral:rRNA from 1 species
CCCGGAGAGGCGGCGGUCUAACAUGCAGUCGAGCGGUACAGGUCCAGCUUGCUGAGAUGCUGACGAGCGGCGGACGGGUGAGUAAUGCAUUAGAAUCUACCCGGUAGUGGGGGAUAACCUGGGGAAACCCAGGCUAAUACCGCAUACGUCCUACGGGAGAAAGGGGGCUUUGGCUCCCGCUAUCGGAUGAGCCUAUGCCGGAUUAGCUGGUUGGUGAGGUAACGGCUCACCAAGGCGACGAUCCGUAGCUGGUCUGAGAGGAUGAUCAGCCACAUCGGGACUGAGACACGGCCCGAACUCCUACGGGAGGCAGCAGUGGGGAAUAUUGGACAAUGGGGGCAACCCUGAUCCAGCCAUGCCGCGUGUGUGAAGAAGGCCCUCGGGUUGUAAAGCACUUUCAGCGAGGAAGAACGCCUGGUGGUUAAUACCCGCCAGGAAAGACAUCACUCGCAGAAGAAGCACCGGCUAACUCCGUGCCAGCAGCCGCGGUAAUACGGAGGGUGCAAGCGUUAAUCGGAAUUACUGGGCGUAAAGCGCGCGUAGGUGGCUUGAUAAGCCGGUUGUGAAAGCCCCGGGCUCAACCUGGGAACGGCAUCCGGAACUAUCAGGCUAGAGUGCAGGAGAGGAAGGUAGAAUUCCCGGUGUAGCGGUGAAAUGCGUAGAGAUCGGGAGGAAUACCAGUGGCGAAGGCGGCCUUCUGGACUGACACUGACACUGAGGUGCGAAAGCGUGGGUAGCAAACAGGAUUAGAUACCCUGGUAGUCCACGCCGUAAACGAUGUCGACCAGCCGUUGGGUGCCUAGCGCACUUUGUGGCGAAGUUAACGCGAUAAGUCGACCGCCUGGGGAGUACGGCCGCAAGGUUAAAACUCAAAUGAAUUGACGGGGGCCCGCACAAGCGGUGGAGCAUGUGGUUUAAUUCGAUGCAACGCGAAGAACCUUACCUACCCUUGACAUCCUGCGAACUUGGGAGAGAUACCUUGGUGCCUUCGGGAGCGCAGAGACAGGUGCUGCAUGGCUGUCGUCAGCUCGUGUUUGGUGAAAUGGUUGGGUUAGUCCCGUACGAGCGCACCCUUGUCUUAUUUGCAGCGAGUAUGCCGGACUCUAGGAGACUGCCGGUGACAGCGAGAGGUGGGACGACGUCAGUCAUCAUGGCUACGGGUAGGCUACCCACGGUGCUCAAUGCGUACAAGGCUGGCGGAGCUCCGGAAGUCACGAUCCUUAGCGUCAGUCCGAUCGGGAGUCUGCAAUCGACUCCUGGGAGUUC